rnacentral:misc_RNA from 1 species
GGAAAUUGGUUGCAAGAGCAGCAAGGUUGGCUUUGAUAGCUGAGGAGGUGGGUUUUCUUGAUGUGAUUCCGAUGAUAAGGAAGUACUUGAAGGAAACAAUUGAGCCAUGGUUGGAGGGUACAUUUGGUGCCAAUGGUUUUCUGUAUGAUGAUAAAUGGGGUGGAAUUGUCACCAAACAAGGUUCGAGUGAUUCUGGUGCAGAUUUUGGAUUUGGAGUUUAUAAUGAUCACCAUUAUCAUAUAGGCUACUUUCUUUAUGGCAUUGCUGUUCUUGCAAAAUUUGACCCAUUGUGGGGGAGGAAGUUUAGGCCACAAGCUUAUACUCUUAUGGCUGAUUUUAUGAACUUGGGCAGGCGGUCAAAUUCAUAUUAUCCACGUUUGAGGUGCUUUGAUUUGUAUAAAUUACACUCUUGGGCUGGAGGCCUAACUGAAUUUGCCGAUGGACGGAACCAGGAGAGCACAAGUGAGGCAGUGAAUGCAUACUAUUCAGCAGCUUUGAUGGGAUUAGCCUAUGGAGACACCCAUCUUGUGGCCAUUGGAUCAAUGCUUACUGCAAUGGAGAUUCAUGCAGCACAAACAUGGUGGCAUGUUAGAGAGGGUGAUAAUUUUUACGAGGAAGAUUUCACUAGAGAGAAUAGGGUGCUGGGUGUUUUGUGGGCUAACAAGAGGGAUAGUGGGCUUUGGUUUGCACCUGCUGAAUGGAGAGAGUGUAGGCUUGGAAUUCAAUUAUUGCCCUUGUUGCCUAUCAGUGAGGUUUUGUUUUCUGAUGUGAGCUUUGUGAGGGAGCUUGUGAAUUGGACAUUACCAGCUUUAGGAAGAGAAGGAGUGGGAGAAGGGUGGAAAGGAUUUGUCUAUGCCUUGGAAGCAAUCUAUGACAAAGAAAGUGCCUUGAUGAAGAUCAGAAACUUGAAUGGUCAUGAUGAUGGCAACUCACUUUCUAAUCUUUUAUGGUGGAUUUACAGCAGGGGUUAUGAGGAUGAAGAAUGGUGUGAAGGAGGAGGAAAAUUCUGCUGGUUUGGUCACUAUUGUCACUGAAUUUGUUUCCUUAUAAUUGAUACAGGAUUGAAUAAGAAAUGAAGUCAACAAUCA